rnacentral:rRNA from 1 species
AGUGUAGGCGGCUAUUUAAGUCGGAUGUGAAAGCCCCGGGCUCAACCUGGGAAUUGCAUUCGAAACUGAAUAGCUAGAGUUUGGUAGAGGUAAGUGGAAUUCCGGGUGUAGCGGUGAAAUGCGUAGAUAUCCGGAGGAACACCAGUGGCGGAGGCGGCUUACUGGACCAAAACUGACGCUGAGGCUCGAAAGCGUGGGGAGCAAACAGGAUUAGAUACCCUGGUAGUC